rnacentral:rRNA from 1 species
UACGUAGGGUGCAAGCGUUAAUCGGAAUUACUGGGCGUAAAGCGUGCGCAGGCGGUUAUGUAAGACCGGUGUGAAAGCCCCGGGCUUAACCUGGGAACUGCAUUUGUGACUGCAUAGCUAGAGUACGGUAGAGGGGGAUGGAAUUCCGCGUGUAGCAGUGAAAUGCGUAGAUAUCGUAAGGAAGACCAGUGGCGAAGGCGAAUCUCUGGACAGUUACUGACACUGAGGCACGAAGGCCAGGGGAGCAAACGGG